CCCGCCUGCGAGCUGCGAGGGCGGGAGAUAUCUCCAAGCUCCGCCUUCUUCUCCCACCCUGGGUGCGCACGCUAGCCACAGGAGGGUAAAUUGCUCCAUCUGCUUUUUCUCAGCUCUUAUAAGUCCCCGGCUCUUUGAGGGGAUCCCAAGCCCCGGGAACCCCGGCCUUCUUCCUGGCUUUCAUUCGCAAGAAGCAGCGGCAGCAGCAACUGCAACUCUGCUACUUAGGAGCGACCGCAGAUGCAAAUCCAAAGGGGAAUCUCUACAGAAUCUAAAGUCCUAAUAAGGAAGCUGAAAUCCAAAGAACCAGGAGACGCUGAAGAAUCAGCUGAGAACCUUUAGUGCACAUGAGGCUAAGACUGCCAAGAUCUCACCAAAACUCACGUUGAAGGGGAUGUCCCAUGAAAGCACCAAUGAACAGAGAGGGUCUUCUCACCAAAGAACCAAGGAAGGAAUCACUCCACUCACCAUGGCAAGAUCCAAGGAAAGAGCCUCCUCCUCCAGUCUGGCUCACCAACAUAGAGUUGGAGACUGAAUCUUCAAGCUGGCCUUUUCUUCACAUCACUUCCUGUCACUCCCCCACUUUAUAGGAACCAAUCACAGUCUUUCAAUUUGCCUAGCACUGCCCCCUGAGUGGGCAGUGGCCUCUGGCAUUGUCACCCACUUUAGCAAGUGACUUGUGAAUUCUCAUUCUUAGUGACUUGUAAGGUACUAAGUAGGGGUAAUUAAGUUUUUGAUUGAUUGACUUAAAAGUUGCUAAUUGAUAGACAAAGAGAGUCUGAUUCCCUCUUCACACAUUGCAUCUGAAUUUUAGACUAGAAGUUAAAAAUAAAACAACACUUCUCCACUUGAAACUUCAUGUGGAAUUUAGAUAGGAUGUAAUUACACAGUUGGAAUUUGUCCAGGACACGUUGGUGAACAUGUCUCUUUUACAAGAAGGACAUUUACCAAGGAACCUUUAAUAAUGGCAUGUGAUCAUGGACUUUCAAUUUAGCAUCCAAUGUGAAACAAUGUAGACCAAUACCCAUUUGUAAUGGAAUGUAUAAAUUCCCUUAAUUCUCAUGCUGGGACAUUUAUUUAUUACUGGAUUUCAACAAAGCCAAUUCUUCAGAAUUGUUCACAUUCUUAAGAGUCCCUAAUCUCACCAUGAUUCAACUCUACAUUUUCUCAAUUUCUACUUUCAGUAAUCUCACUGAAUCUUAUCUGCUAAGGUGGGACCUUUGGCAGAAGUUAAAGCUUCAUUCAGUGGUGGAUUUUAAAACUUAGCAGAAGGGAUACUUUAUAAAUUGGUUAUCAUCAUUCUCAUGCUCCAUGUUUUUGCCUCACUGUGAGCAUUUACCCAGCCAGUUAUCUAUGAUAGCACAGGGAAAUAAAAAGUCAUUUAAAUACUUUGUAAUAACAAGGAUGAGAGAGCACUGGACUGGUUAAAUCAUCCUAAGGGAGUGAAUACAGAAUUCAUAGAUGUUUAUAAGGCAGGGUUUCCAAUCAAUCUAUUUAGACAUUUCAACAGAACAAAAACUUAAGGUGGCCAGAAAUGAAACCAUUGCUUUUCACACUGAGGUGUGGGCAAUAAUUCACCCUGUUAUUUCAAAGUUAAUAAAUUAUAUAAUCCAUGUCCCUAACAAAUAAUAAAAAGUGAUAUCCCAGUUCUGAUGAUGCAUUAGCAUUUUCAUCUCAACCACUUUCUCCAAGAUUGAAUAGGAUGAGUAUUCACAAAACACCUUGGGACAAAAGACAAAUUCAGCCAAUGUUUAAUUUUCCAGAUAUUAUCUGAAUAUUCCCAUAUUUGGAAAUAUCCAGAUUUGGUAGUUUUUAGGCCAAGAUUUGGAUAGAGGACUGUAUUUUUUCUACUUUCCAUCUUUACAUUUCCAUAUCAUAUUUCUAGAACCAUAAAUCUUGUCUGAAUCUUGAACAUGGUGUCACCCAGCAAGUAAAAUCCAUUGGGGCCAUUUAAAUGUAUUGUCAGUAGAUGAUUUCUCCUUUAUUAUUUGCAGAAACCACAUACACUAUUAAGCAGAAAACAGAAAAUUUAAUGGCAAUGGCAAUGAGGUAAAGGCCAAGUGGUUAAAGGGCUAUAAUUAAUAUAUAUCUCUAUUAUUUUCUUUGAAAAUAUUCCAUAGGAAUAAAUGAAUUUUUUGCGAUGUAAAUAAUCAGAAUAAUACAUUAUAUACCUCACCUUUUCCAAUUCAUAAUGAAGUGAAACUAUAUCACUGACAGACCAAUCAUUAGGAUUCAGUAAAAAACUUGGAUACGUUGGAAUAAUCCUCAUAAAUAUUUCUAGUAUACAUAGAUUAGUCCACAAAGCUCAUCUGGGUUGUUUAAAAAGAUUUCAUUUAUAGCUAGUGGAUUGAAGCCCUUGUAUUUUUAUGUUUUAAGUUGCAUGUACCAUAUAUGUAGCUAUAUAUGUGCACAUGUGUAUACAUAUAUAAUCAUGCUGAAAAUUGCUUCCUUAUUUUGGACUUAUGCUUUAGAAUUUUGUCAUUCUUACCAGAAAUUUCAAGACAUUAUACUCUAAACCUAACCUUUCUUUCCUUUUAGAUUUAUUUACUACUUUUAGAAGUAGAAAAGUCCAAAUUCAAUCAUAUUUGAAAUAACUCAUAGUAGACAAGUAUGUACCGCUCUGCUUACAAAACAUAUAUGAGUGGAAUAUGCAAUUACCCCAACUCAGUUUCCUACCACAGAAACAUUUCAGCAUUAUAGCAUUACAGAAAUAGAAUGACAUGCAUAAUGAAAGAUUUCAAGAUUCACCCAAGGCAUUUAUUCUCUUCACCUUAAUGUUCUCAGCAGUAGCAGAGUAUCUAUUAAAAGGUACUAUGAAUUAUGGUUGCCUAGCAACUGGAAGGAGCUUGUAACAGCCCCAAAGAAUGAAAUGGUUGGUUGAUAAAAUGAAUUUUCUCUGAGCAUUAGCCUGUUGAAACUGCCUUUUCUUGUGGAACAUAAAGUGCAUUUAUUUGUCUCAUGCAUUUUUUAUUAGAAAAUUAUUUGAGUUCCAGGGACUUGAAUCGUUUUGCUACAGGAGAUAUUUGAUUUUAAUGUGUUGAACUAAAAUAAGUAAUAAAAGACAUUUUCUUCAAAGUAAAGUCACCAAACAAUCCUAUGUGGAUUUUUGAAGGAAGAAAUAAAAUAUUCGUUAAGCUGU